UACGGGGGGGGCAAGCGUUGUUCGGAAUUACUGGGCGUAAAGGGCUCGUAGGUGGCCAACUAAGUCGGACGUGAAAUCCCUCAGCUUAACUGGGGAACUGCGUCCGAUACUGGAUGGCUUGAGUUUGGGAGAGGGAUGCGGAAUUCCAGGUGUAGCGGUGAAAUGCGUAGAUAUCUGGAGGAACACCGGUGGCGAAGGCGGCAUCCUGGACCAACACUGACACUGAGGAGCGAAAGCCAGGGGAGCAAGCAGG
rnacentral:rRNA from 1 species